rnacentral:rRNA from 1 species
GAUGAACGCUAGCGGCAGGCCUAAUACAUGCAAGUCGGACGGGAUUGGAGAGCUUGCUUUCCAUGAGAGUGGCGCACGGGUGCGUAACACGUAUGUAACCUACCUUGUUCAGGGGGAUAGCCUCUCGAAAGAGAGAUUAAGACCGCAUAACAUUGCGAUGUGGCAUCACAUUGUAAUCAAAUAUUUAUAGGAACAAGAUGGGCAUGCGGAACAUUAGCUAGUUGGUAAGGUAAAGGCUUACCAAGGCUACGAUGUUUAGGGGAUCUGAGAGGAUGACCCCCCACACUGGUACUGAGACACGGACCAGACUCCUACGGGAGGCAGCAGUAAGGAAUAUCGGUCAAUGGGCGGAAGCCUGAACCAGCCAUGCCGCGUGCAGGAAGACGGCCCUAUGGGUUGUAAACUGCUUUUGCAGGGGAAUAAACCUUGGUACGUGUACCAAGCUGAAUGUACUCUGAGAAUAAGGAUCGGCUAACUCCGUGCCAGCAGCCGCAGUAA